CAUGGGAAGAGAUUAGUGGCGAGAAGCGCCCACCCGGGAAGAGGAAGAAGCGCGAGAUACUGUGGGAUCCUAAGUUAAUUGGUCCUUCUUAAAGGCCAUGGGUAAAAGACUGAGAGCAUUUGUUCUUGAACUGUUUGAAAACACUGAACUGAGAUCUUCUUAUCAUCAGAGAGUCACACCAAGAUGAGGAAUCCGCAGAUAAAGUCCCAGAGGACAGACUUUACUCUAAGAAGACUGUUAAAAGGCAC
ensembl:lncRNA